AGUUNGAUCAUGGCUCAGAUUGAACGCUGGCAGCAUGCCUUACACAUGCAAGUCGAACGGCAGCACGGGCUUCGGUCUGGUGGCGAGUGGCGAACGGGUGAGUAAUGCAUCGGAACGUACCCGGGAGUGGGGGAUAACUAUCCGAAAGGAUAGCUAAUACCGCAUAUUCUGUGCGCAGGAAAGCAGGGGAUCUUCGGACCUUGUGCUCCCGGAGCGGCCGAUGUCAGAUUAGCUAGUUGGUGGGGUAAAGGCCUACCAAGGCGACGAUCUGUAGCGGGUCUGAGAGGAUGAUCCGCCACACUGGAACUGAGACACGGUCCAGACUCCUACGGGAGGCAGCAGUGGGGAAUUUUGGACAAUGGGGGCAACCCUGAUCCAGCCAUGCCGCGUGAGUGAAGAAGGCCUUCGGGUUGUAAAGCUCUUUCGGCCGGGAAGAAAUCGCGUUGGCUAAUACCCAGCGUGGAUGACGGUACCGGAAUAAGAAGCACCGGCUAACUACGUGCCAGCAGCCGCGGUAAUACGUAGGGUGCGAGCGUUAAUCGGAAUUACUGGGCGUAAAGCGUGCGCAGGCGGUUUUUUAAGAUAGGCGUGAAAUCCCCGGG
rnacentral:rRNA from 1 species